UACGGAGGGUGCGAGCGUUAAUCGGAAUCACUGGGCGUAAAGCGUGCGUAGGCGGCUUGAUAAGCCGGUUGUGAAAGCCCCGGGCUCAACCUGGGAACGGCAUCCGGAACUGUCAGGCUAGAGUGCAGGAGAGGAAGGUAGAGUUCCGGGUGUAGCGGUGAAACGCGUAGAGAUCGGGAGGAAUACCAGUGGCGAAGGCGGCCUUCUGGACUGACACUGACGCUGAGGUACGAAAGCGUGGGUAGCAAACAGG
rnacentral:misc_RNA from 1 species